AAGUUCCAUAAAAUCUGGGAGCCCAAGCAGCAUAUUUGUGGGAUUUGUCUGACAGAACGCAAUGGAAACAGAGCGUGGCAUUCGCUCCAUCUCCCCCAGGUCCCUCAGCUGCAGGUCUGUUGGAGUUGCUGGACGUCUACUCCAGACCCUGUUUGCCUGGGUGUCAUCAGCAGAGGCUGCAGAACAGCAAAUAUUGCUGCCUGAUCCUUCCUCUGGAAGCUUUGUUCCAGAGGGGCCUGUAUGAGGUGUCUGUUGGCCCCUACUGAGAGCUUCUGCAAACAAGCUUCUCUUACUCUAUGUCUCCACCAAAUGAGGUACUUCUGCAUCUACUUCUGCUCACAGAACUGCCUAGGUGGUCCACCAAGAAGGAAAAUUGUUUACUCUGGUAUCUUCCUAAGAAACUGUACACUUAAAUUGUUUUGUCUUCAAGGAGAUUCAUAGAAAGGACUCUAACAAGUUUCUGAUAACUUUAAGAUUAUACCAUUAAACUAGCAGGUAAAGGAAGAUUUUCAUGAUUCACUGACUGAGGACAAUCAAAUUCUUCACCACGUAGAACCUAGACAUUGGGUCUUUGGAAAGGACAUCAGAGAAAGACUGCCAUUAAGCUCCAUUGGAAGAGACCAUAUCAAGUUCUUUUCUGCAGCAAACCAUCAGGCUCUCAAGUCUUGGAUCUAUGUCUCUCAACUCAAAAGAGCUCCUCCAGACUCCUGGAACUGUAUACCUAUUGGAGACUCUAAGGUAAAGCUCACCAGGGAAGAUUUCCCCCAGGAGCAGUUGGCAUCCUAGACUUCAACAGCUUUCGUAAGAUUGUGGAUCAAGACUUCUCUGCCAUCAUGAAAGUCUUAUCUUUUCCCUUUCUUCCCAAUUUCCUGCUGUCCCAGUCCCUUUCUUUUACUUAUAGGAAAAUCCAUGGGGCCAUAAUCUGUGGAUGGCUUUAGCUAAGUCUUAUGCUGUAGUGAAAAAACAGAGCAAUUGUUGGGUUUAUGAAGAUAAGCUAGUUUCUACUGAGGAAAGAUUCCAGUGGCAUUCCUGGGGGCUCAGUCUUGGUACUAGCAGGGUACUGGUAGUAUGGAAUUUGAAAGUAAUCCAUAAAAUGAGAAAAAUCUUGGGUUUGACCAACCAGUCCCCACAGAGGUUCAGGUGAGUAGAAGUCAUCUUUUGAAAACACUUAAUAAAACAUCAUGCAGUUUUGGAUCCUGUUUCCUUAGACACUGCCACCAAAUACAUAAAGGAAAUUUCUCAGAGGAAAGAAACAUAUGACAUGUUCAUAGGAGCAGCAAACCAUUGGUUUGCAGGUAGGCUUGGCUUUUCCAAGGUGUUCUAACCUUUAUGCUCUUCUAAUGGUUCUCCAGAUUACUAUGACUUGUGUUAACAAGAUAAUGACAACAUUGGAUACCUCUUUAAAUCAGCAAACUGCAGUUCUUAAUCAUUAUCACCUCCUGAACAAAAACCAUGACCAACGGUACUCAAAUGCUUUUGAGCUGCCUGUAAGGGAGGAGACCACCCCUCAUAUUGUCUUAUGCCCAAUUUCUGCCUCCAAAUAAAGAAGAAGUAAAAACUAAAAGGCAGAAACGAAAUCCACAAGCAGACAGCCCGGUGCCACACCCUGGGCCUGGUAGUUAAAGAUCGAUGCCUGACCUAAUCAGUUAUGUUAUCUAUAGAUUACAGAUAUCGUAUAGGAAAGCACUGUGAAAAUCCCUGUCCUGUUUUGUUCCGAUCUAAUUACCAGUGCAUGCAACCCCCAGUCAUGUACCCCUGGCUUGCUCAAUCGAUCACAACCCUCUCAAGUGGACCCCCUUAGAGUUGUGAGCCCUUAAAAGGGGCAGGAAUUGCUCACUCAGGGAGCUCAGCUCUUGAGACAGGAGUCUU
ensembl:lncRNA LINC02389 long intergenic non-protein coding RNA 2389